CUGGUCGUAAUGCUGGUAGUUCUGGACAGCUGGGGACAGCUGAGGACCGAUGGGGACAGCUGGGGACCGAUGGGGACAGCUGAGGACAGCUGCAGACAGCUGGGUGAACAGUGGGAGUCUGAUACCGUGCCUCGCAAACUCUCAUGCUAACUCCUGGACACAGACACACACACAAACACAGACAUGAACUCACACACACACAGACAUGCACUCAGACAUGCACACACAGACACGAACACACACACAGACACACACACCAACACAUGCACACUUAUUUAGUUGAGGCUUGAUGGGUUUAGUUUGGUUUAGUGAACUGAGCCUCAGAACUAGCUGGCUGAGGGGACUCUUCUUUUGUUGACAUCUGUCACGGUUGUGUGGAGAGAAGGCACAGCGUGCUCUGAGUUCCACAUAUUUUAUUUAGUGAAACUUACAAAACAAAAGGAAACAAACAACUAACCGUAACAUCAGAGGUGCUACAUGCACUAACUCAAAACAAG
rnacentral:lncRNA from 1 species